CGUGCCCGGGGAGAGCCCCGGGGCGGCCCGAGGGGAGAAGCGCCGCGCUGCCUCCUGCGGGAGGCCGGGGCCCGGAGGGGCUCCUGGCUGCUCACAGCCACUGCCGCGCGGAAAGCUACGGGAAGAAGGGUCCCACGCCCCCUGGGACAUUGUCAGCUGUCCCCGCAGCCUCCCUGUGGUGCCAGCCUCUAGCUUUUGCUCCGGGGGGUUUGAAGCCAGUGCCGGGGAAAGGCAUUUGUGCAGCCCAGGAAGCCUCGUCCUCCAUUUCUGUCACGGAGAGCAUAAUCUCUGCAAGUGCUCAUCGCAGCCUGGAAGCGCUCCCUCAGUCGCUGGGCAACCCGCGCAGAAACACUGAGGUUCUGCAUCUCAGUCGAGCACUGACCGAGGCAGCACAGCCAAGGCAGCUCUCGCCCGGCCGUGUGGCGGAACGCUCCCCGCCGCUUUGUGCAUGGGCUUCUCUUCACCUUUGGCUCCAUUUAAUCUCUUGUUUGGCAAAACAACACAGUGCUCCUCUCCUGCGUUACUUGAACUAGCUCCAAAGACUGCUAAAGGCCAGGGGAGAGCCAGGGAAGGGUCCUGGCUGCACUGGUGCUCUGGCUGUCUGGAGACACUGCUGCAGGUCCCCCACAGAAAGGCGCAGUGCCUGCAGCCACGCUCCUCAGCCCCUGAGAGGAGCGUGGGGCAGCAGGGGCAGGCGACACAUCUUCUCUGCCCCAUCUCUCGUGGCUCUGUGCCCUGGCAGCUCCCGGUGACACCACCGAAGGGGGAAGGCUGGCCCCUCGAAGCUGGGGACCGUAACCAGCUCCAGAAAACAUUCCCUGCCUUUCCCAUAGGGACCAGCAAAUCUCUCUGGCAGACAAAGGCAAAUGUGGUUACAUCUAAAAGCUGUCAGUUUCAACAGAGUGGCUCAAGAUUCAUUAAAACCUCUGUGGAGGAUCAUUAGAGGUUGCACAGGGGUAGCAGAAAGUAAAGCUUAUUUUUAAGGUUCUGCUACUGUAGGAGAAUAGAACCCAAAAUUUCACUAGUCCCAAACCAGUCUGUACUUGUCUUAUGGCAACUCAACUUCUCCCUAUAAAUAUGCCAGAACAUGUGUGAUGAUUCAGUUUUCUGUGGUUUUAUGUCCUAAAGUGCUGGUCCUUUGCCACUAUUCCUGCUUUUGAGAGUUUGAAAUUGCUUGUGCUAUUAUCUCGAUUUUUUAAUUAUUUAUAUCAGCAGUGUGGGAAAAGCAAUGAGAGUCAUUACAUUUGAAAUGAGAACUCUGUUUGAAUGACUUUUUGAGUCACCUACACUCUGCCUAAACUACACCAGCAGGCAAAUAGGGGGAAACUCCCAAAUGGUACAAAGCUUUCACCUCCACCUCCUGUACCACAUGCCAGGCCUGGGAUCUCCAACCAGAAUAUGGAGGAGUGUGGCAGGGCUCCAGUGCUCCCAACUGCCUCCUUUCUGCCCCCAGAUGAGUUUCCUUCCCCUGCAGGAUUUCAUAAGACCAAGUGGCUGAAUAGCAACUAGAGUAAAAAAAAAAAAGGCUGCAUGUGAAAACGUAUUGUUCCCAAAGAUGAUAAUGCAGUGAGUGCUUUUAUCCCAACAAUGUGAUUUUGUUAGUCAGAUAUCCCUGAAUAUCUCUGGAGUGCAGCAGGUUCUCUACCAAUCCUGCCCUGCUUCCCAGAAAUAUUUCCCCUUCUUCCCUGAUAAAGUUGCUCUGGCACUGACUUCCUCGAGCCUUAGCCAGAAGAUCAGAAAUUACAUUCCAGAUCAUAACUGGAUAGUGAAGCUAUUAAGAGAGAAGCAAGUCCACUAGAAGUUUAGUGAGGGCCCUGAUUCCCCAUAUUCAUUCUGAGCCUAUAUUUACCUUCUCUUCACCUUCCCACAUCCAUUUUCUAAGAAAAUGGAGUACCUGGGUUUUAUAGUGGCAGAGAGACAUACUUGGUUUCGUCUACCUUUCCUGACAGUAAAGGAUAAGAAAAACAAAACAACACAGAACUAUGGCUAAAAAAGAUGCCCAGAGCUGAAAUGCUUUCCCCCAGCAGAGCUAAAGCUCAGCACAGCAAUGAAGUGGUGAGAACAUAGCCUGGUUUGGCUUUUGAGCACUGCAGAGGGUUGUAAGGACACCUAAGCUGCAGGUAAUCUUGUGAAGUAGGAAACAGCUGAUUUUAAGGUAAGCAGAACGAUUUAAAGCAUGAAAAAACCAUCAUAGAUUUCAAAUCCAUUCUUACCUCAUUCAACUACUUGAUAAAGCAGGCAUAAUGUAGCCAAUUAUGAGUAAAUCCUGCCACCUCGGAUUUGGGUAAGCUGCUUGGGGUAAUUAAGAAAAAGUGUUUAAGUGCAAUGGUCCUUGAAAUACUUAAAAGAUCAAAGAACAAAGUAAGUGAGAUAGAAAUGAGUACAAAUUAUUUUGAAUCUAUACUAAUAUAACUCUCUUUCUGCAAUCUUCACUUUGCUGCUUAGCAUGCAAAAUCCUCUCUUAGAAAUGAAAGUGACAGUUCUUGCGAUAGCUCUGCAGACACUGGAUGCACCGCAUGUCUGCGCAUGGAUUUUGGAGACAUCCAUGAUGGGAAAAUACUGCAUCCCUCACACAGUCUCUGGUUACCAAGGCAAAGGCAGAGUUACAUUAAACAGUGGAAGUAAUGAUCAAAAAUAUGAAGAUGUAUGAUUUCAUAAGUGCUUGAGCUGAAACACAGGAAGUUUCUGGAACCUCUGAAGAGAGAAUUGUUCCCAUCAAUAAUACUACAUUCAUCCCUUCAACCUUGCUUCUUGAUAAACUGCCACAUAUAAGUGGCACAUUUAUUAAAGUGUCUUGUUACAGAAAGACCACUUAGCUUUUAGUAGAAUUAUGUGAGUGAGCUCUCAAUGGCCUUGCAGGUCUGAAAGUGGACAUUGUUCUGAAGUUUUAGUCAAGGAAAAAGCAAAUCGAGUAAUCUCUUCUUCACAACCAACCACUGGAUUGCCAGCUGCACUUAAUUUGCUUGCAACCUCCCCCCACUUUCAGAUGUUCACAGACCUACAGCCUUACCCACAUCUCCAGCUGCUGAACUUGCAGGCCACGAGAUUCCAGUGGGGUCUUGGGAGGGGAGAGUCCAUAACUCACGGAGCAAGACUGACAGAAAGAAAAUCCAUCAGAUGAUAGAGAAGAUGGAAGAGUUGAGUCUAAGCAAUUUCAGGUACCUUCAAACUAAGAGGGAGAGCCCCUUAGCACCACUGUCCAGGCUUUGGUGGCCCAGAGUUGGAAUUAGAACUGCAGAAGGUUACCCUAAAUAAACUUGCUGCAGGACUUACACAUGCACAGUUAUGAAUAAACCCACUAUUCAUGUUAAUAUUUGUGUUAAAAUACUGAAAAGCAUUUUCCUUUUCCACAUAAGAAGUCUGUAUCCCUGACCUGCAGUAACAGCUAUUUCUAACACUCGAUAAAUCAAUGUGGUGGUUCUGCCAGCCCAAAGUACAGCUUUGCAGGCCUCCAUCUUGGCUCCAGCACAUCUCAGAUUUUCUUCUCAGGUACUAAGCCUCCAUUAAGUCUAACCUAGUCUUUGGUAACUGUCAAGCUGGUUUUAUUUUACCUGAAGACAAAACAAAGGUAGGAGCAGAAGAGAGAAGCUAAGAUAAAGGUUUACUCCCACAUGCCUGUGCCGUUGGUACCCCUGCAGCGAUCCAGAUGCUCUUAUGCCAGCCAAGCAGCUACUGCAUUGCCUGUAAUGACAUCUUAGAUUGCAGCAAAGGCAAAAGGAGGGAUUUAAUCAAUGACAGCAGCACUGCAGUCUGUCCUUAUGCUAUCAAACACAGGUUCCCCAGCCCUGGUUUGCUUGUAUUCACUGCUAGCCAAGGUAGUACAGGAGAUUUAAUAUAGUGUGUGGAACUUUAGGGCUAUUAAAAAUCCACCUCGGGUGUUCUGAAUAACCUCACAGGUUACUUUUCUCCCCCAAACAUUGGAAUAUUCUAUUUCCCUAACUACUGUUUUGCUCAGGGAUUUUUCCCUUAAAUGGCUGUAGUCUUAGGUUACUUGUCAGCUUCAAAAGACAUCACACGUGCAACAUUUUUGUCCUGUCAGCUGGUAGUGGUUUUCAAAACAGGAUGCCUAUUUUUCCCCCGAUUAUUUCCAAGUGAGACACAGAAGUCUGAGCUUUUGUUUUCAGUUGGUUAUACAGGUUCAACCUGGUGAUUCAUUCUUCCUGCAGCUACAUUUCCAGGAAAAGACAAAGCCCUGGCUCUUCUCCAAGUUAUCCAAGUAGGAUCAGAAAGCACUCCUCCCCCAGCUGUGACACUUUCUAAGAAGGGAGAAAUUGAACAAAACACAUCCCAGAGUUGGUGUCAUCACCCUGCAGACAGGCAAGGAGGUACAUGACCUUGGAAAGGCAUGUGCAGUAUCAAGUCAGGGUGAAGAUAACAGCAGAGUUUACAAGAUUUAAUAUUCUCGGUCAUGUGAAGCAUAGCCAAGUGUGUGCAAUGAGCCAUUCUCCAUUUCUGGGACUGAUGGUGGCUGUGAAGCUGGAUGGCUUACGGGAAAUCCUGCAAUUUCAUUUCAAGCCUUUUAGAAGACUUUCAUCUUCUUGUUGCAGUUGGUGUGGACAAGGACAUAUGCUUGGAGUUGGGAAUUUUUCAAGAGUUAUUACUCAUAAAGAAGCUGGUAACUUCGGUUUCAGACAUCUCCUCUUAGGAAUACUGCUGCUUGCUGAUGAAGGGAAGCCUGGUUUUGCAUCAUGAGGCAAAGGACGACAGGGUUGUGUGGUUGUGAAUGCAAGUGCUGAGAUUUCAGAGAGGGAGUUAAAUAAAAACCUGCACAACUCUGCCUACAAGGAACCAUCACAGGAAAUGUAAAGGCUUGUCUGAGAAGUGGGGUUCCUUCGAACGCAGCUCACAUGUACUCAGCAAAUGGGCCAAGUAAAGAGACAGAAUUACCUCCCCCUGUAAGCCCACAAGCCAAAACACAGCUGGUAGCAGUAAUAUUAGUCCUGUCAAGCCUGGGAGUCUUCAUUUAUUAUACAUCUUGCAAAUAAUUAUACAUCUAGUUAAGUUUAUAGCUCAGAAGCUGCAUUUAGUGGUUGGCAGGGUAUGCUCCUCACUUGGAGUAGUUGGCAGGGUAUUGCUCCUUUGACCUCAUUAGACUAACAGGAGGAGCAAGUCUGGUCCUCUGUAUAUUCAGAAUAAACCACAGGUCUUUCUAAUCUCUGCAUAUUAGGAGCAGAGGUCACUACUCCUUUGGCUCUCAUCACAAUCUGAUUUAGGGUUUGUUUCAAGAUGCUUUAUGGCCUUCUUUAAAGGCUGUGUUGGAGUUCUCCUGAAGUUUGCAGCAACUUCCCGAGAGGGCUUAAAUUAAGAUUUGUUUGCCACAUUUUUGAAAGUUACUUUACUUUCCCUUUUGUGAAAAUUAAAGCACAGGAGGGUUGCUGCACACUGGAUGCCCUGCUCAGAGGCAAGGGGUGGUAAUGGAGAGUCCCAUGGCACACACCUCUCUUUCUGGAGCAGGAGGAAAAGAGGUUGGAUCCCAACAGUCCAUAGUAAGCUAUUUUCAGCUCAGGCAUUCAUUAUUGCCAUGAUCUGCCAUCCAAAAUUCCUGCUUAUGCAAAAUGUGGAACUAGGUAUGUGCUGCCCAUUGUACAUCAAAGUAAUUGAUUUUUUUAAUAAUGGAAACUGUCUGAUGAUUCACUGGGGUAAAUCAAGCAGAACAGUAGAAAGAUGAGGCAAAAAAUAGGAAGAGAACCAGGACCAGUAAUAAAUCAUGAUAGAGGGUAUUCAGUGUAUUGCUAUAGCAGUAAGUCAAUAGAAUGUUAAGCUGCAUAAAUACAAGAUAAUGUGUUUCAUUUCUGCAGGGUGUUGCUCAGACUACACCUAUUAACAGGAUCGCCUGGUUCUGCAGAAAAUACACACAGCAACAAGUUUUGUCAUAUUAUCCUGAUAAAUCAGAUAUGAAUUAAGAUUUUAAGAGUUACUUUGCCAAAAUGGAGAAGGAAAUGAAUAUUCCUCAUCACUGCAGCUAAGGAAAUCAUGCACAGAUAUGGAAAAUUACUCUCUACUGGUGUAUUGAGGUAUGUGGAAGCGGAAGCUUAACUUCUCCUGGAAUGACAGGGAGGUGGGACAGUUUGCUGUUUUCUGUGACUUCCAGGGAUUAAAGUCAGUUUCCUUUUGCUUAAGACCUACAUGAAUAAGUCCUAACAGGGAAACAGACUACUGAUUUCUUUCCUCUCUCUGCAUGUUUGUAUAAAUCUCGAUACUCUACAACAGCACUAGUGCAGGGGAAGAGCAGCCUUCAUCUCUCCCCUGUUGCAGAAUUACACACUGAGAGCAAGUAUGAAACCAUGGGAAACUUCAGCCUCUGGGAAGCAGAGGAACCAAAACCUUCACACCCAAAUAGCAGUGAGGCACGUCACAUACUCCAGCCACUCCAAGUUCCCAGCAUUUUUCACCUGUCGGCACAAGUAUGUGGGGUUCUGGCUGUUUGCCCCGAUGGCUGGGCCCUGGUGCUCAGCUGCCUGGUGAGCCACUUUUGCUCACUUCCUCACCCUUGAACAAGGAUUUUCCACUGCCUCAAACCACAGCUUUGGCAAAGGAUUCCCUUUAGGCUGCUCCAAAGCUGAGAGUCAGUAGAGGUCUCCCAGCUUGCUGCUGGGAUCCCCUGAGGCCCUUGCUGCAGCUGCACCUCCCUUUGCUGAAGCCAGGCAGCCCCCCAGCACAUGCUAGCAUGGUUGCAAGGAGCAAACUUGGCUUUAGACACGGACACUCGGCAUGGCUGCUGUCUGGCUAAGGUGUGCAGAUUUGCCUGUGGCUCCUACCGCUGCUCUGGAUAGAGCAGCUCACCUUCAUCGGCAUAGAGCCAGUGGAAGGGCCAGCAGUGCAGCAUGAGUGCAGCUUGCUCCGCUGCUCCAGCUUCUGAAAAUAGUCAGCCAGGUGCAAAGAGUGAGGGAAGGUAUUGCUCUUCUCCUGCAAAAGUACAUUAUGCCAGUUUUCAUAUUAUAUAGCGCAGAAGCAAGCCAACUCUUACUCUUGCUGGAGAAUGAAUUGCUUCAGUAAGCCACACCAACCCUCUAGCUUCUUCUCUUUCCUCACCAUCCUCACAAAAAAUCAGUGGUGCCAGAGGGAAGAAAACACCAGUCUCUGAAUGGCUAUUUUGCAUGAAGCCCCUUUUUCCCUCCCUGGCUCAGGUCAGUGGCUCCUGUUCCACCCAACAGGAGACUGGCUCUUCCUACAGCUGGGAGCAGGACAGCUGCCCUACAGCUUUCCAAGAAGAAUGCAGAGGCUGCAGAGGGACUUCAGUUGGCCUGAAGUGGUUCAAGAAGUGCUGAAAGCAAAUAUUCCCCUCAUGGCCCUCGUGUAAUCCACAGCAAGGUCAGAUUCCUCUGGAGUAACAAGGCUUGCAAACUGUCAGUAACAUGUAGACAGACUUAGCUAACACAGUUUAGAGAAAUUGCUGGUGAGUGAAAAGGUAUCAUUCAUCAGUCUGAGGGAAUAAUCCUCAUAUAAGACUAUAAAUCAUUUGGUUUGUCCCUUUAUUGUGCCUAGGAUUAAGUUGUACAAAUUCUGGAAACACAGCAUCUGACUUCCUCUCUUCAAAGAAACUACACACAGCUGACCCAAAAACUUCGUGUUUGCCGUCACAUGGGAGAGCCAACACUAGGAUUUUUCCUACAAAAUUGAGUAAAACCCUGAGCCUGCUUAUCUUUGGACUAAAUGCCAGCAUGAUAGCAGAAUUUUGUGAUACUUUUGUGUUCCCAGGUCUCCUGCAGAGCCAUUCUUAUCAGGGGCCAGAGUUAAAUUUCUGUAGCGGUAUCAGUUUGUUUCAUUGCAGAACAAAGCACGUUUGUGUUUA